GAUGAACGCUGGCGGCGUGCCUAAUACAUGCAAGUCGAGCGAACAGACGAGGAGCUUGCCCCUCUGACGUUAGCGGCGGACGGGUGAGUAACACGUGGAUAACCUACCUAUAAGACUGGGAUAACUUCGGGAAACCGGAGCUAAUACCGGAUAAUAUAUUGAACCGCAUGGUUCAAUAGUGAAAGACGGUUUUGCUGUCACUUAUAGAUGGAUCCGCUCCGCAUUAGCUAGUUGGUAAGGUAACGGCUUACCAAGGCAACGAUGCGUAGCCGACCUGAGAGGGUGAUCGGCCACACUGGAACUGAGACACGGUCCAGACUCCUACGGGAGGCAGCAGUAGGGAAUCUUCCGCAAUGGGCGAAAGCCUGACGGAGCAACGCCGCGUGAGUGAUGAAGGUCUUCGGAUCGUAAAACUCUGUUAUUAGGGAAGAACAAAUGUGUAAGUAACUAUGCACGUCUUGACGGUACCUAAUCAGAAAGCCACGGCUAACUACGUG
rnacentral:rRNA from 1 species